AUUGAACGCUGGCGGCAUGCCUAACACAUGCAAGUCGAACGAGUGGCGGACGGGUGAGUAAUAUCUGGGAAACUGCCUGAUGGAGGGGGAUAACUACUGGAAACGGUGGCUAAUACCGCAUACCAUCGGAUGUGCCCUGAUGGGAUUAGCUAGUGGGUGGGGUAAAGGCUCCCCUAGGCGACGAUCCCUAGCUGGUCUGAGAGGAUGACCAGCCACACUGGAACGGAGACACGGUCCAGACUCCUACGUGAGGCAGCAGUGGGGAAUAUUGGACAAUGGGCGAAAGCCUGAUGCAGCCAUGCCGCGUGUAUGAAGAAGGCCUUCGGGUUGUAAAGUACUUUUAGCAGGGAGGCGGUAUCUGCAGAAGAAGCACCGGCUAACUACGUGCCAGCAGCCGCGGUAAUUC
rnacentral:rRNA from 1 species